rnacentral:tRNA from 1 species
GCCGAUGAAGCACAAUUGGCAGUGUAAUUGAUUUGUAAUCAAUAGGUUACGGGUUCGAGUCCCGUCUUCGGCU